GUUAUGAAAUGAGGAAAAUAUAGACUUGCGAAGUUCGCAAAUUUUAUAUACAGUAUAUUUGCAUUACGUGUGGAAAAAUAACAUUUUUGAGCCGAAUGUGGUUAUUUUUACCGCACGUAGUACAAAUAUAUACAAAAUUUGUGAACUUCGCUGGGCUAUAUUUUCUUCAUUUUACAAC